GUAUUCCCCGUCUCUGACGCCGAUUUUUUUUUUCCGAACGCAUGAAUUAAUCAUUCAUUAUUAUAGAAGCCUUUCUAUGUAGUAUACUAUUCAGCGUGCCUUAUUCCACAUAAGAUAGGUAUUAAGGAUUCAUUUCGAUGAAAAAGUCUUGUGUGUAUUUACAUAUUUGUAAAUGUUGAGUACCUAUGCUUGAUCGGGUUGAAUAAUCUGGUAAAUAUGGGAUGAAGCGGAAUAUUUUCCAAAGGACAUGUGGGUUUAUUUACACGCGUAAUUUUCCAACAAUAAGUUAUUUUUCUUUGCACAAUAAGGUCUCAUUUGCUUCGUAAACAUCAUUUAAAAUUCACCGCGCUCGAUUUAUCUAAUGACUUGUAUCUAUAUAUCUACCUACGUGAGAAAUUGGUGCAUUCUUUUGUUUUAAUUGUUAAACAUGCGGUAAUAUUUUUAUUUCAAAUGUUUAAAUGCGUAUUUUUCAAGGAUAUCUAUAAUCACUAAUAAGGUAUAUUGCCAUUAUCUUCUUUGAGAAUAAAUUCUCUGGCGAAAAUCAAUGACUUAUACAUGAAUAACUCUCGAUCAGCAAGGUCUAUCACUUUUGGAUUUACGGGGAAAAUAGCUUGAUCCGAUGUAUUCAUGGAAUUCCUUAGUCGUAUAACAUUGCUAUUGUCGAAUCGCCAAGCUCGACUGGAAAAAUAUGUUAGAAGGUUGCAUCCUAAUGCGAUUUUUCUUUGAACGCGAACCAAGCUGGAAAAAAUGUUUAUUUUUGUUGAGGCUUCAGAUGGAGAAAUUAGUACCUACAUAGAGGUUUAUAUUUAUUCAUGGUGACACUCGGAUACCAUAGAAUUAUGCUGAGUGGACAUUUUAGAUACACGUUGUAGCUAAAUUUCAUCAACUCGCCCCAUGUUGGUAUUUCAUCUCUGGAUAGGCAAAUAUUGUACACUGGAAGACUAUCCUGUCUGUCACACGGAAUAUAUGCAUUUGUUAGCAACUUCCCAAGCUAACGCGACCAAACCAUUGCAUACGUUAUCGACAGGAAUUAAAUCAGCAGGAUAGUCUGGAACUGCAUAAAUACUUCUUAGAACACCUUUUCCUACUGCGAUCAUUAUUCCAACAACGCCAUUCAUGUUAUCGACGAAGCCGGGAAACGGUUCUUUGUGACUGGAAAUUACUACAUAAAACAAAACAAACCAUCAAUCAAAAAAUGGAGAAACAGACUCCAGUUGUGCCUAAAACGGAAUAUGGAGUCGGAUAAGGUUGUUAAGCUCGUUCAAGAACUGUACUUCCGAUGCAUACAGAUGAUCCUACCUACGUUUACCUACCUUUAAAAAGAACAGAUUUCAAGCUGUGGUCAAAUGUUUGAGUUCUUGAAUUUCGCAUUAUAAAAAAAUUGGUCGUCAAAAUAAAAUCAUAUAUUCAUCAUCGGUGAGUUGCUUUUGCAAUUGAUGUAACAUUAAGUAUAGUAGAAAAUUUUCCAUCGUAAAUCCAUCUUUUCAUUGGCCAUAGAUGAUAGAAUAAUUUUUUCAAAUACUUUUCGACAUUUUUCAACAAAAUUUAUGAAUAGUGAAAAUUCCAGAUUUUAGUGAUUAAAAAAUGGAAUUUGAUUGGCACUUGAAUUGAAUAUUUCAGUUGAAGUUUAAGAUAGACACUGCAUUAUUUUGACUUCUCGGUGGUCUAUCAAGAGAUCACAAAAAAAGGAGUAGAAAAUGUUCACCAUAUAGCUUUUUGUUUAAAUAGAAAAGUUCAUAUUAUCAGGUUGAUCUAAGAAGAGUAAAAAAACCAACCAAUUCUUCCAAGAAAUAUUUGAAAAUGUGUUUUUAUAAAAAUAGGUAUAUUUAUUUUACAGCUGCAACAAAAAAUCUCGUUCUAUGAAAUAAUAUUAAAUCACGUUCACGUAAAAAAAUAAACAAACGAAUAAAAAUCAAUAAUCUUACUCAUUAUAAAUUCUACAAUCGUAAAAUGAUCAAGCCCUUGAGAAAAAAUGAAAAAAAUAACUUAGUCUAAGUAUUAAUGUUGAGUUUGAAAGAUUAAGAAAAAAUGCAGAAAAUUUCUUUACACAGAAAUUUGAAAUUGACUAAAACUAAAAGCAAUUCCCACAUUUCCACCAUCUAGAAAAAAAUUCUUCAAUUCAUCUCUGAGUAUAAUAAUGGCAUUCGAUUCGAGUAAUCUGGGCGUAUUUUUGAUCUCUACGAGGCCUAUUUAGUAUUACACGAUCAAGAAUUCUAAACACACAAAAACAGAUUGUGAUUAAAAAAUAAUUACGAUUGUUCAUUGAUGUUUAUCGAUCAAAACAGCGUGAUACUUACAAAGUGCAAGUUGACCCCCACGAUCUGUAACAGGUCUACAGGUAUCGUAUCUUCGGCCGAAAUUCAAAUUUGAUAUCGAAUUCAAACACUUAUCUUUUCCGUGAAAAUGAAUCCUAGCAUAAUCA